rnacentral:rRNA from 1 species
GAUGAACGCUGGCGGCGUGCCUAAUACAUGCAAGUCGAGCGAACAGACGAGGAGCUUGCUCCUCUGACGUUAGCGGCGGACGGGAGAGUAACACGUGGAUAACCUACCUAUAAGGCUGGGAUAACUUCGGGAAACCGGAGCUAAUACCGGAUAAUAUAUUGAACCGCAUGGUUCAAUAGUGAAAGACGGUUUUGCUGUCACUUAUAGAUGGAUCCGCGCCGCAUUAGCUAGUUGGUAAGGUAACGGCUUACCAAGGCAACGAUGCGUAGCAGACCUGAGAGGGUGAUCGGCCACACUGGAACUGAGACACGGUCCAGACUCCUACGGGAGGCAGCAGUAGGGAAUCUUCCGCAAUGGGCGAAAGCUUGACGGAGCAACGCCGCGUGAGUGAUGAAGGUCUUCGGAUCGUAAAACUCUGUUAUUAGGGAAGAACAGAUUUGUAAGUAACUAUGCACGUCUUGACGGUACCUAAUCAGAAAGCCACGGCUAACUACGUG